rnacentral:rRNA from 1 species
CGUAGGGUGCGAGCGUUAAUCGGAAUUACUGGGCGUAAAGCGUGCGCAGGCGGUUGGUUAAGUCUGAUGUGAAAGCCCCGGGCUCAACUUGGGAAUGGCAUUGGAAACUGGCUGGCUAGAGUGUGGCAGAGGGGGUGGAAUUCCGCGUGUAGCAGUGAAAUGCGUAGAGAUGCGGAGGAACACCGAUGGCGAAGGCAGCCCCCUGGGCUAGCACUGACGCUCAGGCACGAAAGCGUGGGGAGCAAACAGGAUUAGAUACCCUGGUAGUCCACGCCCUAAACGAUGGCAACUGGGUGUUGGGGAAGCGAUUCCUUGGUACCGUAGCUAACGCGUGAAGUUGCCCGCCUGGGGAGUACGGCCGCAAGGUUA